CACGUAGGGCGCAAGCGUUGUCCGGAAUUAUUGGGCGUAAAGAGCUCGUAGGCGGCUUGUUGCGUCGACCGUGAAAACCCGCGGCUUAACUGCGGGCUUGCGGUCGAUACGGGCGGGCUGGAGUUCGGUAGGGGAGACUGGAAUUCCUGGUGUAGCGGUGAAAUGCGCAGAUAUCAGGAGGAACACCGGUGGCGAAGGCGGGUCUCUGGGCCGUAACUGACGCUGAGGAGCGAAAGCAUGGGGAGCGAACAGG
rnacentral:rRNA from 1 species